UACGGGGGGGGCAAGCGUUGUUCGGAAUUACUGGGCGUAAAGGGCUCGUAGGCGGCCAACUAAGUCAGACGUGAAAUCCCUCGGCUUAACCGGGGAACUGCCUCUGAUACUGGAUGGCUUGAGAUUGGGAGAGGGAUGCGGAAUUCCAGGUGUAGCGGUGAAAUGCGUAGAUAUCUGGAGGAACACCGGUGGCGAAGGCGGCAUCCUGGACCAAUAUUGACGCUGAGGAGCGAAAGCCAGGGGAGCAAGCGGG
rnacentral:rRNA from 1 species